rnacentral:misc_RNA from 1 species
GGUGCUUCUAGCACCUGCUCAGUGGCAGGUACUUUUCUAGCAAGAUUUCUGAUCCAGUUGAUGAAAGAUUCACAGCAAUUUACUAUGUGGAAGCUUAGGAAUUUAUGGGGUUCCCUUGAUAUAUUUAAGGCCAGUUUAGUGCUUGGCACAUCAUGUUAUUGGACACCAUAUAGGAUGUACAGAAAUAUGGAAUCUUCUGAAAUUGCUUUUGGUCUUCAUCUUUUAGCGAUUCAAUGAGUUCCCA